GCUGUGGCUCAGUGCUAGAGCAUCUGCUUUGCAUGCAGAAGGUCCCGGUUUUAAUCUCUGACAUCUCCA